rnacentral:rRNA from 1 species
GAUGAACGCUGGCGGCGUGCCUAAUACAUGCAAGUCGAGUGAACAGAUGAGGAGCUUGCUCCUCUGACGUUAGCGGCGGACGGGUGAGUAACACGUGGAUAACCUACCUAUAAGACUGGGAUAACUUCGGGAAACCGGAGCUAAUACCGGAUAAUAUAUUGAACCGCAUGGUUCAAUAGUGAAAGACGGUUUUGCUGUCACUUAUAGAUGGAUCCGCGCCGCAUUAGCUAGUUGGUAAGGUAACAGCUUACCAAGGCAACGAUGCGUAGCCGACCUGAGAGGGUGAUCGGCCACACUGGAACUGAGACACGGUCCAGACUCCUACGGGAGGCAGCAGUAGGGAAUCUUCCGCAAAGGGCGAAAGCUUGACGGAGCAACGCCGCGUGAGUGAUGAAGGUCUUCGGAUCGUAAAACUCUGUUAUUAGGGAAGAACAAAUGUGUAAGUAACUAUGCACGUCUUGACGGUACCUAAUCAGAAAGCCACGGCUAACUACGUG